ACCUACCUCUGUUGCUUUGGCGGGCCGCGGUCCUCCGCGGCCGCCCCCCUCCCCGGGGGGGUGGCCAGCGCCCGCCAGAGGACCAUCAAACUCCAGUCAGUAAACGAUGCAGUCUGAAAAACAUUUAAUAAACUAAAACUUUCAACAACGGAUCUCUUGGUUCUGGCAUCGAUGAAGAACGCAGCGAAAUGCGAUAAGUAAUGUGAAUUGCAGAAUUCAGUGAAUCAUCGAAUCUUUGAACGCACAUUGCGCCCUUUGGUAUUCCGAAGGGCAUGCCUGUUCGAGCGUCAUUACAACCCUCAAGCUCUGCUUGGUAUUGGGCACCGUCCUUUGCGGGCGCGCCUCAAAGACCUCGGCGGUGGCGUCUUGCCUCAAGCGUAGUAGAACAUACAUCUCGCUUCGGAGCGCAGGGCGUCGCCCGCCGGACGAACCUUCUGAACUUUUCUCAAGGUUGACCUCGGAUCAGGUAGGGAUACCCGCUGAACUUAA
rnacentral:rRNA from 1 species